rnacentral:rRNA from 1 species
UUUAAUUUAUAAUAUUAAUUCUUUUCUAUUAAUUUUUUUGGAUAAGCUCAAAAAAGUUAAGAUUUUCAGCUAAAAUUACUGUGUGGGCUUAAAAUUGGCCAAAAAGUUUGUUAUAGAAUAGUAAUCUUAAUUUAGAAAAUAAAUAUAUUUUAAUCUAAGUCAUUACGGGGACAAGAGCUUUAAUUCUAUGCCUAUGCUAGAAUGAGUAUUAAACCAUUAUAAAGAUUUUCUUCAAAAAAUUAAUUAAUUAGAAGGAAUUCGGCAAGUUUAAUUGCUUCGCCUGUUUAUCAAAAACAUGGCUCUUUGCUCACAUAAAUAUAAAGAGUCGAGCCUGCCCAGUGUUUUUUAACGGCCGCGGUACUCUGACCGUGCAAAGGUAGCAUAAUCAUUUGCCUUAUAAUUGAAGGCUAGUAUGAAUGGUUUGACGAGAGCAAUACUGUCUCCUUUUUAUUUUCAAAAACUUAACUUUUAGGUGAAGAGGCCUAAAUUUUAUUGAAGGACAAGAAGACCCUGUCGAGCUUAAAAGACAUUAUAGGAAUAUUUAAAUUUUUCUAUUUUUUUAGUUGGGGCGACUAGGGAACAAAAAAAGCUUCUUUCUAAUAACAAUCAUGUUUAGAUCCGAUACGAUCAAAGAAAUUAGUUACCGCAGGGAUAACAGCAUAAUCUCUCUUAAGAGACCUAAUCGAAAGAGGGGGUUGUGACCUCGAUGUUGGACUAGAAUAUCCUAAAGAUGCAGAAGUCU